GGUAAUUCCAGCUCUAAUAGCGUAUAUUAAAGUUGUUGCAGUUAAAAAGCUCGUAGUUGGAUUUUGGUGUCGGACAGGCGGUCGGCUUUUGUCGUACUGCCCUUCUGACGCCUUCCUUCUGUGGACUGCGUCACUCUUAACUGAGGGGCGUGUGGACGCAGAUCGUUUACUGUGAGUAAAUUAGAGUGUUCAAAGCAGGCCUUACGCUUGAAUACAUUAGCAUGGAAUAAUAGAAUAGGACGUCGGGCCUAUUUUGUUGGUUUAGGGACCGUCGUAAUGAUUAAUAGGGACAGUUGGGGCCGUUCAUAUUCCGUAGUCAGAGGUGAAAUUCUUGGAUUUACGGAAGAUGAACUACUGCGAAAGCAUUCGGCAAGGAUGUUUUCGUUAAUCAAGAACGAAAGUUAGGGGAUCGAAGACGAUCAGAUACCGUCGUAGUCUUAACCAUAAACUAUGCCGACUCGGGAUCAGCAAGUGUCGUUCACGACCUCGCUGGCACCGUGUGAGAAAUCAAAGUCUUUGGGUUCCGGGGGGAGUAUGGUCGCAAGGCUGAAACUUAAAGGAAUUGACGGAAGGGCACCACCAGGAGUGGAGCCUGCGGCUUAAUUUGACUCAACACGGGGAAACUCACCAGGUCCAGACAUAGCGAGGAUUGACAGAUUGACAGCUCUUUCUUGAUUCUAUGGGUGGUGGUGCAUGGCCGUUCUUAGUUGGUGGAGUGAUUUGUCUGGUUAAUUCCGAUAACGAACGAGACCUCAGCCUACUAAAUAGUAACGCCUGCUUCGGCAGGUGGAUUACUUCUUAGAGGGACUUUUCGAGUCAUCGAAAGGAAGUUUGAGGCAAUAACAGGUCUGUGAUGCCC
rnacentral:rRNA from 1 species